rnacentral:rRNA from 1 species
GACAGAGGCCUCGAGCGUUAGGCGGAAUCACUGGGCUUAAAGCGUGUGUAGGCGGAUCGUUAAGUGCCUUGUGAAAUCCCACGGCUCAACCGUGGAAGAGCCUGUGAUACUGCUGAUCUUGAGAGAGGUAGGGGCGUGCGGAACUUCCGGUGGAGCGGUGAAAUGCGUAGAUAUCGGAAGGAACACCGGUGGCGAAAGCGGCGCGCUGGACCUCUUCUGACGCUGAGGCGCGAAAGCCAGGGGAGCAAACGGG